rnacentral:misc_RNA from 1 species
UACGGAGGGUGCAAGCGUUAAUCGGAAUUACUGGGCCUAAAGCGCGCGUAGGUGGCUUGAUAAGCCGGUUGUGAAAGCCCCGGGCUCAACCCGGGAACGGCAUCCGGAACUGUCAAGCUAGAGUGCAGGAGAGGAAGGUAGAAUUCCCGGUGUAGCGGUGAAAUGCGUAGAGAUCGGGAGGAAUACCGAUGGCGAAGGCAGCCAUCUGGCCUAAUACUGACGCUCAGGUGCGAAAGCGUAGGUAGCGAACAGG